rnacentral:rRNA from 1 species
UACGGGGGGGGCAAGCGUUGUUCGGAAUUACUGGGCGUAAAGGGUUCGUAGGUGGCCAACUAAGUCAGACGUGAAAUCCCUCAGCUUAACUGGGGAACUGCGUCUGAUACUGGUUGGCUUGAGUGCAGGAGAGGAACGCGGAAUUCCAGGUGUAGCGGUGAAAUGCGCAGAUAUCAGGAGGAACACCGGUGGCGAAGGCGGGUCUCUGGGCAAUAACUGACGCUGAGGAGCGAAAGCGUGGGGAGCGAACAGG